UACAAGCUGCGAUGCUCGUAAUGUUAGUAAAGUUUUAACCUUUAUACGGAUAUAGGGAGUUUUACAUCAAGUCAUAGAUGACAAGCCUUCAUUGCGUAGAGGACGUCAGAAUAUGGUUUUGCGAACACCCACUUAGAUAAGUGGUCGUUUAAAACUUUCUUCAUACAUGUUACGGCAAUUGUGGCCUGUCU
rnacentral:other from 1 species